UACGUAGGGGUCUAGCGUUGUCCGGAAUUAUUGGGCGUAAAGAGCUCGUAGGCGGCUUGGCAAGUCGGGUGUGAAACCUCCAGGCUCAACCUGGAGACGCCACUCGAUACUGCUAUGGCUAGAGUCCGGUAGGGGACCACGGAAUUCCUGGUGUAGCGGUGAAAUGCGCAGAUAUCAGGAGGAACACCGGUGGCGAAGGCGGUGGUCUGGGCCGGCACUGACGCUGAGGAGCGAAAGCGUGGGUAGCAAACGGG
rnacentral:rRNA from 1 species